AAAUAUUUAAAUCAUCGAUAACAAAAUUUUCAAUCUGAAAUCUUUAAUAAGUUUAUAAUUUAUAAAUGUUCUUGAAAAUUCAUUGAAAGUUUUAAUAUUAAAAUAUUUAUGUAAUCUUAUGGUAUAUAGUGUUUAAUCUAUAUAUAUAUAUACUUUUUUUUAUUAUUAAAUGAUAUUUUUUACUCAUAUGGUUUUAAAAUCAUGUGUAUCUUCU
rnacentral:lncRNA from 1 species